ACAUAUAACACCAAAACGGUGGGACAUGAAUAUGUAUUUCUAUAACAAAAGUCAAGUGAAAGAAAAGCAAGAGCAAGUUGUUGAAGCACUUCAUCAUGACUCAGAGGCCAUUCAAUCUUACUCUCUCUUUUUUUUCCAAUCAAGUUUGAGUCAUGGUUUCACUAAAAGUUUUGAUCCUAUAGGUGCCUUCCCAUCAUGAAUCUCUCUGUUUGUUAUCAAAUCUUCUCACAUAAUUUCCAACUUAUCCUCUUAUAACCAUUUUCGAUGAAUGAAACUCACUUCAGUCCUUACUCCUUUUAGAAUUUUAUCAAAUUUGAGUGAA
rnacentral:lncRNA from 1 species